AGACCAUAUCUCACAGGAGGUCAUCUAUGUGGAUCUGAAUUUGAGAGGGGCCAAUGUGCUGCACUGGAUCCAGCUGAGAAAAUCACAACCUGAAACUAGCAGAGAGACCUUUGAAACCACACCUGAGGGCAAAAAUAAAUGAAACUGAAUGCAGACUGCAUGAAUGAAAACAAACUGUCCUCAUUCACUAAUCUCUCCAGGAAGGAGACAGACUUUUGUUCCAAGUUUCUUCUGUAGCAAAUAUUUGUGGACAAUCACUGGGGAUAAAGAAAGCCAUAAUGGGAACCACCCGGAUGUAACUGUAUAUGAGAAGUUAUUUCAUUUCCUAGGCUUGGCAG